GGCUCUUGUUGAUCCCAGAACAGUUGAAAGGACUGAGCUUAGCAAAUGGAAAUAGUAACACACUUCUACAGUUUGUUUGAUAUAAUCUCUUACAAGGAUAUGAUCUUCUGUGGUUUGACACACACCUCCUGGGAAUUCUGUCACCACUCCUUAGCCCAAUAAAUGUGGGCAGGAGUUUCAAAUCCUGGAACUUUAAAAGCUUUUUUGGAUAGUUCUUGGCUGCUACGUUGAUCAACAUACCCAGGAAAAGUGUACAAGUAAAUCAGGGCUGUGGAAGUGAUCCCUUGGAUAAGGUUAGAAGAGAACAGAAGAGAAUUCAGAGGAUUGCCAUUUGGACAGAAAUCAUGUUCUUGUAAUACCAUGCAAUUUUAAUACUGAAGGCUAGCGUAAUAAAUCAUUCCAUAAAUCCAUUAUUAAUUAUCAACCCAUUAUCUACAGUUCAAUCUGAAUUCUGCUCGGUAAUAUAACUGCAGAGUAGGUGAGCUAAAUAUAAGGCAUUCUGAGAUAAAUUGAAGGAAUUCAAAGCAGCACCUGUGGCUGUGUAUUUAGCUGCUGUUUUCUAACCCUGUUUUCCACUACACUUGAGACUGGACUACUACUUGAAAUAGGAAGGUCAGAGUUUGCAAACAAUCUUGAAUAUGAUUUUUUAAAAUGUAACUCCUUAUGGGGUUUAGAGAGUAUGGCCCCUUUAAAUCUUUGUCUUGAUUGUUCCAGGAAGAGGAAGUGCUGUUGGGGGGGGGGGAGCUUGAGAGAGAAGGGAUACAGCAAGCAAGGGCUCACAGACUGAAGCAGGCAAGAACCUGCCUCAAGCUUGGGAGGGACAGAGCCGCUGAUUGGGGACACGCCAGAACUGGAGCCCGGAGGAGCACUGUGCCAGGGAAGAAUGUCGCGGAACUGAACCCAGUAUCACUGCUGCCCAGAACUGUAUGGGGCCAUAAGUGCUGGGGCUUGUGACUUUGCAUUGAGAAUAAGGGGGAGGCUGUAACUGGUUAAGAAGGGAGGUUGUCAUUCUGUGUGGCUUUGCAGAGAGCGGCAGAAGAGGCCACUGAAGGGGUUUGUUGGGAAAAGUUUACUGGCACUGAAGACAACCAGGAGCGCCCAAGACACAGCGCUGGACUGGAACUUUGCCAGGACUCCUGAACUCUGAGUGCAGAUGCAUUGCUUGGUGUCAGCCCUUUGAGAAUGUGGUAUCCCUGGACCUGUGGGGCCUUGUGUUGAAUGAAGCCUGUUUGACCGCUCCCCCUAUCUUUCCCCCUGCUGUUUUUCUCCUUUCAUCUCUCUGCAAAUAAAUAUUUCCCUUUCCUUUA